rnacentral:misc_RNA from 1 species
AAGUCGUAACAAGGUUUCCGUAGGUGAACCUGCGGAAGGAUCAUUACCAAUAUAGCGAACCGAGCGUUAGCGAGGCUUCGCGAUCAAAUUGUAUUUAAAACCCAACUCUUUAAAUGUAUAUUAUUGUAUUUUAAAUAAUAAAAGAUCACUUUCAACAACGGAUCUCUUGGCUCUC